AACCCAUGGUGAGGGCACCUUCUCAAUAAGUCUUUAUACCUCUCACAUGCAUCAUAUAAAGUUUCUAAAUCUAUUUGCACAAAAGACGAGAUAUCGUUUCUCAACUU
rfam:Gossypium hirsutum cultivar TM-1 chromosome 12, whole genome shotgun sequence